AUGGUUGCCGCCAGUCUGCCGCCCAUCAAGCACCACCCUGCCGAGUCGCAGCCAUGCUUUGCCACCAUGGACAUCGACAUCGGCACCCCCUCGUCCUCCCCGCGCGGCCGCUCCUCCUCCUGCGCCGGCAUCGACCUGCGGGUCCUGCUCUCCGUCGUCUUCGGGGGAAUCUUCACGGUGUUCCUCCUCGCGGCGUCGCAGGCCGCGCUCCCCUCCGCCUCACUCUUCCUCCAGCGGUACUCCGCAGCCACCCAGCGCCCGUCGCGACCGCGCUUCGCCUACCUCGUCUCUGGCUCGAAGGGCGACGCCGGCAGGCUGCGCCGCUGCCUGCUCGCGCUCUACCACCCGCGGAACCGCUACAUCCUCCACCUGGACGCGGAGGCGCCGGACUCGGACCGCGCGGAGCUGGCGGCCUUCGUGGCGGCGCAUCCGGUCCUCGUCGCGGCCGGCAACGUGCGCGUGGUGGAGAAGGCCAACCUGGUGACCUACCGGGGCAUCACCAUGGUCACCACCACGCUGCACGCCGCCGCUGCCUUCCUGCACGGCUCUGGUGCCGCCGACUGGGACUGGUUCAUCAACCUCUCGGCCUCCGACUACCCGCUCGUCACGCAGGACGAUCUGAUGGACGUGUUCUCGCGGCUGCCGCGCGACCUCAACUUCAUCGAGCACACGAGCGACAUGGGCUGGAAAGCGCAUGCGAGGGCGAAGCCGUUGGUUGUCGACCCGGGGCUGUACCUGAAGAAGAAGCGCGACCUGAUGUGGAUGAACACCGAGACCGAGAAGCGGGAGCUGCCCACCGCCUUCACGCUCUUCACCGGUUCUGCUUGGACGGUGUUGUCGCGGCCCUUUGUGGAGUACCUGAUCGGGGGGUGGGACAACCUCCCGCGCACCCUCCUCCUCUACUACGGCAACUUCGUCUCCUCUCCGGAGGGUUACUUCCAGACGGUGGCCUGCAACGCCGACGAGUUCCGGAACACCACCGUGAACCACGACAUGCACUACAUCUCCUGGGGCGAGCCCCUAGGGCAGCAUCCGGAGCUCAUCAACGCCACUCACUGGGAUAGGAUGCUCCGCAGUGACGCCCCCUUUGCACGCAAGUUCGGCCGAGACCCUAACGACCCGGUGCUCGCUAAGAUUGACGUGGAACUCCUGUCACGGCAGCCCGGCAUGGUCAUCCCAGGCGGCUGGUGCACAGGAAAUGUUGGUGGAGGCGGCAGCGAUGAUCAUUGCUCGGCCAUUGGGGACACGACACUCCUGCAUUCUGGCCCAGGGGCUGCGCGGCUGCAGCGGCUCGUCGAGUUGCUCAUGUCGAAGGACAACUUCCGGCCUAAACAAUGCAAGAUAGUAGACCACAACGAUUGA
rnacentral:rRNA from 1 species